rnacentral:rRNA from 1 species
GAUGAACGCUGGCGGCGUGCCUAAUACAUGCAAGUCGAGCGAACAGACGAGGAGCUUGCUCCUCUGACGUUAGCGGCGGACGGGUGAGUAACACGUGGAUAACCUACCUAUAAGACUGGGAUAACUUCGGGAAACCGGAGCUAAUACCGGAUAAUAUAUUGAACCGCAUGGUUCAAUAGUGAAAGACGGUUUUGCUGUCACUUAUAGAUGGAUCCGCGCCGCAUUAGCUAGUUGGUAAGGUAACGGCUUACCAAGGCAACGAUGCGUAGCCGACCUGAGAGGGUGAUCGGCCACACUGGAACUGAGACAGGGUCCAGACUCCUACGGGAGGCAGCAGUAGGGAAUCUGCCGCAAUGGGCGAAAGCCUGACGGAGCAACGCCGCGUGAGUGAUGAAGGUCUUCGGAUCGUAAAACUCUGUUAUUAGGGAAGAACAAAUGUGUAAGUAACUAUGCACGUCUUGACGGUACCUAAUCAGAAAGCCACGGCUAACUACGUG